UCGUUUUCCCUUCAAAGUCCGGGUAAGUAAUCUAUGGUGCAGUUAAAAUACUAAACUAAAAGGAAAAAGAAAGGUCCCUAAUUCAGGCAAUGUCGGCUAAUAGAUUUUCUGAUGUGCAUAUCAAAUAUAUAAUUGUAAGCAUCUGGAUUAUCUACUUCCUGCAAAUGUUGCAGAAGCUUGAUACACAGAUGAUACAAUUACAAUAAUAGGUGGCUACAUGCUUUUACUUAGGACUGAUUUUAUUUCAAAGUGGUCCCUGCUUUUGUGCAGUGGAUAUUCUUCUUUAAAUUUUUGGUCCAAAAAUUACAAAAAUUGUUUUUCUGUCGUGCAAAGGUGGGCUGACCAUGCCUAUGCUUUUGGUAUUUAUCUGAGUUUUUUAUGUACAAAAUGUAACAUCAAUUAAUAUUUUUCUCCCCUUUCCUCCUUUCUAAAUUUGUUCAGUCUUCAUCUUGCUCAUCAGGUGGUUUAGAUCUGCCGUUGUUUGUUUUAGUUUGCAAAUCCUAUUACUGAAUAGUUGAAAUUUACUGCAUGUGCCCUGUAUGUGUGCAUUAAAGUACUGUGGUAAAAUUAAACAGCUUGUCCUUUUGUCCCUAUCUUCAUUGAAACCUGCAAAGUUGCUUGACACUAAAUUUGAUUCCCCUAUGCACUAUGUAAAAACCAGAGGGCUGCAUGUGAUAGACAACCCUCCCCUACCUAACCCUCACAAAGUAGAGAGCCUCAUGCACUUCGGGUGCCUUUUUAUUCAGAGACUGAAUAAAGUGCAGUUUUUGCCACCGAACUUCUUCACUUCCUUGUGGGGAGAAAUUUCCCUGCUUGGUGUUUUUCUUUACACCUGCUUUGUUCUAUUUCCAAGCUUUGGAAAUAUCUAAAUCAGCCUCACCUGGCUUAGAUUAUCACAAUGCUGUAUUGUCCUUGGGUAACCGUCCUACAACAUCUUCAUGUUUCUUCAGUGGUGCUUUGCCCAUUUAUCAAGAUCCAUAUUUUGUUGGGCUAUCAUUCAAUUUCCUUUCUAUCUUUCUAACUGAUUGUACUCCACAUCUUGUGUAUAAAACAUUUUCACCAAAUGAAAGUCUGCUCCCAUAGUUUUAUGACUCCAUCCAUUUUAGAGAAAGUUGCCUGCUUUUGUAGGAUUAAAAGACAAUAAGGACAAUCUUCUGUCCCUGGUGUAAGGUUAUUGAUAUAAUUGAGUUGUUUUAAUGAGAGGCACUAUAUGAAACUGUUGCUGUGCAAAUUCUUGAAGUUAUUGUUUAACAAAAUUAUUUGGCACCAAAAUUCAUUGUACUUGGUUGAUGGUUUUCAUGCACCUGAUUGCAGGCUACCUGUGAGGCAGCUGCUGAAAAGCAGAUUCAACAGCUAUUGUUUCCAAGGUCUCGCCGAAAGAAAUUUAGAAGUCAUGCUGAUGGACUUAGGGACUCCAAGUCAUUUUAGUUCUGCUGUUGUAACUAAUAUUGAGGAAGGAUUUUGCAGUUUUUAAAUAAAUUUUUAGGCUGGGUUUGUCAUCGAUGUAGGCCUUUAAGAAAUCCAAUAAAUUACAGAUGAGAAAAACCUUCUUUACAUUUUGAAAUAUAUAUCAAAAGGUUUUUUGGCUUUUAUAUUUUAAGAAUUAAAAAUUAUCCCACUUGAAAGGUUGUAAUUGGC
rnacentral:misc_RNA from 1 species